CAUGCAACUAAUUAAUUUUAUUCUUUUUUUUUUGAAAAGUGUUAAGGAAAGAAUAUCACUAAUUAUAUAUUUCAUUGUCUCUUUAGGCACUAUUCGGGUUUUUAUGUCUUUUUGGUUCAGUUUUGGUACUUUAUAUGCAUCUAGGCAACUGACCAUUUCUUCAAGACUUUCCAAGUUUCUGGAGUCACAGUUUUCACUCUAGUUGCUAGUCAGCUGGAUUUUGCUAGUAUCUGGUGUUAUUUUGACUUUUUAAUUUUUAAUUGCAUUAAUAUGAGUUUUUCAUUAUUUGCUUUAAGGUUGACUAAAAUUAGGUCUGUUUUUUUUUUUUUUUUUGAAGAAUCAGCCCCUUAAUUCAUUAAUUCUUUUAUUGUUUUCUUAAAAUUGAGUUUCACACUGAUCCUUGUGAGUGCAUUCAUGCAGUAAUUUGAGUUUGGAUUGGUUUUUCUUUGACAGAAUUGUGAAUAUAUAGUUUUAUUUUUUUUUAACUUUCUCUGGUUUUCUAAUCUAGGUGUUUACAACAAUAAACUUCACUUUUAACUCUGUUUUCACUGUGUCUCCUAGAUUCUCCAAUGUUUGAUUUAUUCCUUUAUUUCUUCUGUAAUUGACUGUUCGGGAGUAUAUUAUUUAAUAUCCUUGUAUUUGUGUGGUUUUUGAGGCUUCUUUUAUAAUUGAUUUAUAGUUUCAUUGUGCUGUGAUCUAAUUGUGUGUAGCAUGAUUUUAUUCUUUUGCACUUAUUUUGUAGGUUUAAUGGACUAGAAUGUCAUCUGUUUUUGAAAAAGUUCCCUAGACUGCGGAGAAGAAUGUCUGCUUUGUUGUUCAGUAGAACUCUUUGAAGUGCAAGAAUGAAUGCUCAACAAGAAUGUGUGGCUGUCUUUUACAAAGCUGAAGUCUACUCGGAAUUCACUGAUUAUUUUUAUGGGGGAAAAGUGAUUCUUUGUAAUCUGCAUGAACUAAUCUUCAUUAAUGCAUUUGAUAUUCCCCAAACAGGAAUUAAAUCACAAGGAACAUUUAAUCUAAACAGCACUGUUACUUUUUGUCACCUUUUACUGUCUAACUGUCCUGGCAGCCAGGCAUGGUGAUAAAUAUCUGGAAUCCCAGCAUGCAAGGGGCUGAAGCAGAAGGAUCACCAUGAGUUCAAGACCAGCCUGCACUAAAUAGCAAGACCCUGUUUCAAACAAUCUUUGCCCUCAAGAAAAUAAUUGUCUUGGUAAAGAUGUUCAGGGAAGUGGUCUUUCUUUCCUUAUAUAAGAUCUUUAAGAAAAGUUCUUAGAUUUUCCCUAUUGAUCAUAUUGACUGUAAGCCUUUAAUGCAUAAUCUUUAUUCUGAUCAUGCAAACUACUUCAAUAACUAUUGUCUUUAGAGAUUUAAUUAUUAAUGAAUGUUCAAUUUUGUCAAAUACCUUACUGCAUCAACUGAAAUCAUUACAUAAUUUCUUUGUUUGGAGGAAUUUUGUGAUGUAUCAUUGUGUUCCCAUAUUGUCACUGUGACAAAAUUCUUAAGAAAACCAACAACAAAAGGAAUACUUAUUUGGAAUCAAUAUUUCAGUUUACAGUCCAAUUGCUAUGAUCAUUUGCUUUGAUAUUGUAGAAAUAAGAGGUUUGAUACUGUAGAAAUAAGCAAGCAAAGAGACUGGAAAAAAUUUGAGUCUCAGUAUUUUUUGUGGGUAUAUCUCUGGGAGUUCAAGGGCAGCCUGAACUGCAUAGCAAGAUCUUGUCUCAAGAAAAAAAAAAAAAGAUACAAAUCUAUUGUCAUGCAUACUUUUCUAUGAAUAUAAAAUGUUAAAUAGUUGUUAGCACUAGUUUUCUAAUGUAGUUGAUGGUGUAGUAAGAAAAUAAUUUAGGCAUAAACAAUACAAAGCCUCUUUAAAAUUCAUACAUUUAGCUAUUCAAGGUUAAGAGACUUUAACAUUGUAUAAUUCUUUUUGAUACAUUUUGUACCUGAUGUGUGUUGUAUUAUUUAACAUUUUGUAAACUUAAUUAUUUAAAGAAAAUGUUUCAUUUUUAUUUUUCUAAUAGUAGGAGUAAUCUAAAUAUUUUUGUCUUGUAGAGCAUUUUGAUAACACAUAUAUGUACAUAUUCAUGAAUCUUAGUAAAAUAAGAACUAGUAUAUUCACAGGAAAGGCCUUAUUCUUUAUACUAAGUUUGGGUUAGGAUAUUUAAUAUGCUCAAAUUUAUAAAAUCUUUUUCUAAAUUUUAUAAAUUAUUUUCAUAAACAAGCAAACCCGAAAGUUUGAUCACACCAUGUGAUCACGUGUGAGUGGAGUUUAUAUUUGAUUGAACAGUGGAUAUUCUUUUUCCUCUCACCAGGUUAAUGCACUGAAGAUACUUACAAUUACCUGACAGAACUCUGUAGUGUUCAUUUCCCUGUCACUGAUAAACUGCUGAUGAUCAUUCAUUUUAGACCCAUUGGCAAAUGGCAGCCCAAUACUCAGAUAACUUUACUGUCUUUCAUCUGACAAUUUUUAUAAUGUUUAUUGUUUUGACUAUUAAAAGGAUUCUUCAAACAGAGCAUCAUUUUAUUAUUUCUGAUUUUUUUAAUCUGAGCACUGAGUGCUUGGUGUCAUCAAAAGUUUACAGGAAUUCCUGUUUCAGAAUUCCCCUCACAACGAUCUCACUCAUCAGCUUCCAGCUGGGCUGGUAGACUUGAGCAACAUCUUACAGUAUCUCUAGCUU